rnacentral:rRNA from 1 species
GACGAACGCUGGCGGCGUGCUUAACACAUGCAAGUCGAGCGGUAAGGCCCUUUCGGGGGUACACGAGCGGCGAACGGGUGAGUAACACGUGGGUGACCUGCCCUCAGCUCUGGGGAUAAGCCUGGGAAACUGGGUCUAAUACUGGAUAUGACUCCACGGUGCAUGUCGUGGGGUGGAAAGCCUUGUGCGGCUGAGGAUGGGCCCGCGGCCUAUCAGCUUGUUGGUGGGGUGANGGCCUACCAAGGCGACGACGGGUAGCCGGCCUGAGAGGGCGACCGGCCACACUGGGACUGAGACACGGCCCAGACUCCUACGGGAGGCAGCAGUGGGGAAUCUUGCGCAAUGGGCGAAAGCCUGACGCAGCGACGCCGCGUGAGGGAUGACGGCCUC